UAAAAAGAAAGGCAUUUUCGUCAUUUCACUGUGCUUAACUACAGUGUUUAGUUGCAUUGGGUUUUAGUAUAUAUAGAAUUUCCUAAAAUUUGAAAUUUGAAACUAAUUUGCCCUCCAAUUCUUUCUGGCACUUUUGCUGUCAAUGAAGAAGUCUUCAUUUCUUUCUUCAUUGACCUGUGUUGUUAAUUGGUAUAUUUUGUAACGGCUGGUCUGACAAACGAAUCCCAUGUGGAUUAUGAUAUUAUAGUUCUAUAACACAUUUGUUGAUAAGAAGCUGCCAUUUGACUUUUUACUUAGCACAGACAAGCGGGUAAGUAAAGUCUCUAUCUUUUUCAGGUUUUUUGCCUUAAAUUUCCGAUUUUUGCAGUCAUUUCAGUCCUUGUGCUCAUCACCCAUGUCAACCACAGACAGCAUGUUCGAUUCUGAUAUCUGGGUUGCGUUCGGGUUUGGUGCUUUGGUGGGUUUUUCUGAUUUUCAAUUCCUGUGGGUUUACAAGGAAUGUCCUAGAUUGUUUAACCCUCGAUAGAAUAUUUAAGUCCUUUGCCGGAAUUAGUUCAUAAAAGAACUUUUCAUAAUUCAUACACUUUCAAGCUAACUGCAAAUUGUAUUAAUUGGUUUUGGAGAUGACUGGGUUGAAACCACUGCAAAACAAUUUGGGAAUUUGUUGAUAAAUUUUUUAUUCAAUUUUGGUGAUGACUGUUUUGAACCCAAAAGUUUACAGCCUUUUAACUUCCUUAGCUGUUUUGGGAUUUGAAGGGACAGUAAGUUCUCUCUACCAUUCUGCAUUGGGGGUUUUCUUUCAACCUCUAUCUGCAACCUGAAAUACUCUAAUGUACCUAAAACAAAAAAAACAAAAACAAAAAAGGUGUUUGUUACAGUAUUUAUAGAGAUCUAGUUUGGAAAUUGAGCCACUAAUGCUCUUGUUUAGUGUGUAUUGCAAAUAUACCUUCGUGAUUUAUUUUGUUUUCUUAUUGUGUUUUGCAAAUAUGUUAGGUACAGAAUCUUACAGAGCUCUGGAAGAUUCUGUACCUGAUGAAGCUAUUCAACUUUACACUGAUGCUUGUGCUCUUCUUGAAGAUGAUGACAAGGAUCAAAUGGCCUUUGAUCUAUAAUGAGCUGCCACUAGCUGUCUUCUGGCAGCAUUAAUAAUCAGGCAACUAACUGUUAUUCCUUAUGGCUUAAUUGAGGCUAAGGUAUUGGAAAACUGUGGUUUGAGGUUUAAAAUCUAUUAGAAAAGAGUAGGACGACUCUCACGCUUGGAAUCUGGGGCUAAAUAUGAGUCUCUGCUUGUGCCAUUGUUUUCAACUUUAAGUUCUUACUGGAUCUAUAAAAUGUUCUUGCUGCUGCUUUUCUGUUGAGAUGGGGCUUAGCAGCUGAUAAGUGCAAUGCUACUAAUACCAAUGCUGAUAAGGUGUGGAAGUAUUUCUUUUGGCACUAAUCUUUAUCAAUAUUUUGGAUGUAUUUAGAAAUUAGAUAUAUUGUAUGUCCUGGACUAGUGUAGAGGUAUUGGUAUUUGAUAUGAAGACAAUAUUGAAAUGGUUUCCUACGCUAUACAUACAUGAGGUACUAAGUAAUAUGUAUUUUCUAUUCUUUCCCCUUUCAUUUCCUUGUGGCUUCAUUAGAUAAAGGGACCAAGUUUUGGUUGCAUCUGUAGUAAUUAGCAUUUCUCUUCUCAUGAAAGCUUAUUAUGAGUCAUCUUGUAUUCUUGUAUCCUUGUAGCCUUUUUACAUAUUCCCCGAGUCUUCACUAUUCCACUGUGAAAAGUAAUUCUGUCACACUAUUUACUGUUUAUCCAUAUGUUUUUGUCUCCUUGAAUUCCUUCCUACUAGUUACAAGAACCCAUGAAUGUAAUGACUGUUAGAUCUUGAAGCAAACCUUCACAGUUGGGUGGCAGAGUGUCGAUUUGCAUCCUUUGAUUAUAAAAGAGUCUGAUGUAAACUUCUUAGUUGUGUCCUUGAAUUGGCCUAACGUUGUCUUUGUGAAAAUACAAAUAACUCUUGUGUACAGUCAUUGUAUUUGCUUUCUUAUUUUGAAAGCUAUUUUUUUUCUUUCUUGAUUUCAAGGUGGCUAUCUUUAUGACAUCAAUGGGAAGAAGUAUCUUGAUUUUUUGUUUCCGGAAGAAGUAUCUUUAUGACCCAAGUUCUCUUAUGUACUUUUAUUUUACAUUUUGUAUUAUGAAAGUUUUUUGCUAUACCCGGCAGAAGAGUCAAAUGCUGGUACUCCCAUGUUGAACUUUUGGGGUAAAGUUACUUCAAUGAAGGAUUCUGAUGCAGCUUCUCCUGCGGUUAACUAUGUCUCUUAGAGUGUUGACAAAGUUGCACAGCCACAGUUUCCUUUUGCUUUGUCAGCGGCAGUUGGUGAAUCUGUUGACGUAAAAUCGGGUGCCUUUCACACCUCAAGCCUAAAAGCUGAAGCAGUGUCAUCCUGUGCCCAAGUCUAGAUCAGAUGGUUUCAAAGCAAGUUCAAAUGUCUUUUCCUUGCCGCUUCUAAGUUUUGGGGAGACAUUUGAAGAUGCAUAUGAAGUGAUCUUGAUUUUGGAUGAUCGAGAGCAAUUUGCCACUCAGGGGAUCACGACCUGGGAGAAUAAUUGAGAAUGUUCGUACUCAAUUCAAAAUCAAAAUAGAGGUUAUCUUUGGGAGAGAGCCUUGAGGAUGAUUUGCAGGUUGAGCCGCAAACCAGGUUCAGGCUGUCCAGAAUGUCUGGCAUUAGGGUUCAUACUUUUAUCCUUCAUCAAUGAUUGGGAGUUUACCGAAGGCGACAACUAGCAACUAUUUUCUUUAACAUCUGUAAUAGUUACAUUAAUAUGCUUGGACUUUAGUCAAUCUGAAUGAAACCGAGGUCAGCCUAGCAUCCGAACUUCUUAUGUAUUAUGAAUUUUCAGUAAGAGAAAUCAAACCUUUGUAUAUUAUUUAUCCUGAUAGAGAUGAAAGAGAAUGUGUUGCUACUAUUUCAAUAUUAACAUGGAGGUUUAGAGUUUUACUUUAA